rfam:Vibrio phage VH7D, complete genome.
CCGUGACUAGCUCAAUCUGGUAGAGUACUCCGUUUGGGGCGGAGAAGUUAAGCGUUCGAAUCGCUUGUCACGGA